UACGUAGGUGGCAAGCGUUGUCCGGAUUUACUGGGCGUAAAGGGCGUGCAGGCGGUCUGUUAAGUCUAGGGUGAAAGCUCCCGGCUCAACUGGGAGAGGUCCUUGGAUACUGGCGGGCUUGAGUGUGGCAGAGGAGAGUGGAAUUCCUGGUGUAGCGGUGGAAUGCGCAGAUAUCAGGAGGAACAUCCGUGGCGAAGGCGGCUCUCUGGGACGGUACUGACGCUGAGGCGCGAUAGCGUGGGGAUCAAACAGG
rnacentral:rRNA from 1 species